CAGGGGUAGGGGAGCGUUGUAUAAGGGUUGAAGGUGUACCGUAAGGAGCGCUGGACAUUAUACAAGUGAGAAUGCCGGUAUGAGUAACGAAAAGAUCAGUGAGAAUCUGAUCCGCCGAAAGCCUAAGGGUUCCUGAGGAAGGCUCGUCCGCUCAGGGUAAGUCGGGACCUAAGGCGAGGCCGAAAGGCGUAGUCGAAGGACAACAGGUCGAAAUUCCUGUACCACCGUAAGCCGUUAUGAGCAAUGGGGGGACGCAGCAGGGUAGUGACGCGGACUGAUGGAUGUCCGUCUAAGCAGUGAGGCUGAUGUGUAGGCAAAUCCGCACAUCGUAAGGCUGGGCUGUGAUGGGGAGCGAAAAUUAUAGUAGCGAAGGUCAUGAUCUCACACUGCCAAGAAAAGCCUCUAGCCAGGUGAUGGUGCCCGUACCGCAAACCGACACAGGUAGGCGAGAAGAGAAUUCUAAGGCGCGCGGAAGAACUCUCGUUAAGGAACUCGGCAAAAUGACCCCGUAACUUCGGGAGAAGGGGUGCCCCGGUAGUGUGAAUAGCACGAGGGGGCCGCAGUGAAAAGGCCCAAGCGACUGUUUAGCAAAAACACAGGUCUGUGCGAAGCCGUAAGGCGAAGUAUACGGGCUGACGCCUGCCCGGUGCUGGAAGGUUAAGGGGAGCGGUUAGGAGCAAUCCGAAGCUGUGAACCGAAGCCCCAGUAAACGGCGGCCGUAACUAUAACGGUCCUAAGGUAGCGAAAUUCCUUGUCAGGUAAAUUCUGACCCGCACGAAUGGCGUAACGACUUGGGCGCUGUCUCAACGAGAGAUCCGGUGAAAUUUUAAUACCUGUGAAGAUGCAGGUUACCCGCGACAAGACGGAAAGACCCCAUGGAGCUUUACUGCAGCUUGAUAUUGAAUUUGGGUACGAUCUGUACAGGAUAGGUGGGAGCCUUUGAAACAUGAGCGCCAGCUUGUGUGGAGGCACCGUUGGGAUACCACCCUGAUCGUAUCUAGGUUCUAACCUGGUACCGUAAUCCGGUGCGGGGACAGUGUCAGGUGGGCAGUUUGACUGGGGCGGUCGCCUCCUAAAGAGUAACGGAGGCGCCCAAAGGUUCCCUCAGAAUGGUUGGAAAUCAUUCGAAGAGUGCAAAGGCAUAAGGGAGCUUGACUGCGAGACCUACAAGUCGAGCAGGGACGAAAGUCGGGCUUAGUGAUCCGGUGGUACCGCAUGGAAGGGCCAUCGCUCAACGGAUAAAAGCUACCCUGGGGAUAACAGGCUUAUCUCCCCCAAGAGUCCACAUCGACGGGGAGGUUUGGCACCUCGAUGUCGGCUCAUCGCAUCCUGGGGCUGAAGUAGGUCCCAAGGGUUGGGCUGUUCGCCCAUUAAAGCGGUACGCGAGCUGGGUUCAGAACGUCGUGAGACAGUUCGGUCCCUAUCUGUCGUGGGCGUAGGAAAUUUGAGAGGAGCUGUCCUUAGUACGAGAGGACCGGGAUGGACGUACCGCUGGUGUACCAGUUGUUCCGCCAGGAGCACCGCUGGGUAGCUAUGUACGGAAGGGAUAAGCGCUGAAAGCAUCUAAGCGUGAAGCCCCCCUCAAGAUGAGAUUUCCCAGUAUGUAAGACCCCUUGAAGACGACGAGGUAGAUAGGCUGGGGGUGGAAGUGCAGCAAUGCAUGGAGCUGACCAGUACUAAUCGGUCGAGGGCUUAUCCAAGAUAUGCAGGUUAUA
rnacentral:rRNA from 1 species